rnacentral:lncRNA from 1 species
GAGUACAUUGGAGAGAAGAUGGAGCAGGCGUGGGCUGAAGAGCCUGUUAUAAAGGCGGCGUUUGAACGGUUUAAGGGGAGAUUGUUGGCGCUUGAACGAACAAUCGAUGAUCGAAAUGCCAGUAGUGAGUUGAAGAACAGAAAUGGAGCUGGGGUUGUACCUUAUGAGCUUUUGAAACCCUUUUCACAACCUGGGGUUACAGGAAAGGGAGUUCCGUAUAGCAUCUCUAUUUGAACUAUGAACUAGUGUGUGCUUUUGGUCCAUAACUCUUUCUCUUUCCCUUUGUUAUUUGUUAACAUAGUUUUAACUCAUAUGACUUCUGACAAUGAUAUUGGCGAGCUUUCCCCACAAUUACGCAAUGUAGAAAGCUGGAACUGUGUUUAGUAGCAAUGGGCAUUAACUCCAUGGUUUAAGGAACAAAAUUGUGAGCGUAUAUAUAUAUAUAUACGAGUGUGUGUAUUCUUAGCAAAGCUGAAAAUAAAAUAUAUGUUUAUCAAUAUUCAAGUACCCAUCCAAUCAGGGGAUGCCACGU